AUACGGAGGGGGCUAGCGUUGUUCGGAAUUACUGGGCGUAAAGCGCACGUAGGCGGAUUAAAAAGUUAGAGGUGAAAUCCCAGGGCUUAACCCUGGAACUGCCUUUAAAACUAGUAGUCUAGAGUUCGAGAGAGGUGAGUGGAAUUCCAAGUGUAGAGGUGAAAUUCGUAGAUAUUUGGAGGAACACCAGUGGCGAAGGCGGCUCACUGGCUUGAUACUGACGCUGAGGUGCGAAAGCGUGGGGAGCAAACAGGAUUAGAAACCCCUGUAGUCC
rnacentral:rRNA from 1 species